rnacentral:tRNA from 1 species
GCGGGCGUGGCGGAAUUGGUAGACGCGCUAGACUUAGGAUCUAGUGCCUUGGCGUGGGGGUUCGAGUCCCUUCGCCCGUA